rnacentral:miRNA from 1 species
UGAAGUAAGGUAGACUAGUAAGGU